rnacentral:rRNA from 1 species
GACGAACGCUGGCGGCGUGCUUAAUACAUGCAAGUCGAGCGAGGCCUUGGAAUUGGAGUCCUUCGGGAUGAAGAGUCCUUGGCCUAGCGGCGGACGGGUGAGUAACGCGUGGGCAACCUACCCCAAAGUCCGGGAUAACAGUGGGAAACCGCUGCUAAUACCGGAUGGCUUUACCUGAGGGCAUCCUCGGGUAAAGAAAGGUUACGCUUUGGGGAUGGGCCCGCGUCCCAUUAGCUAGUUGGUGAGGUAACGGCUCACCAAGGCGACGAUGGGUAGCCGGCCUGAGAGGGUGAACGGCCACACUGGGACUGAGACACGGCCCAGACUCCUACGGGAGGCAGCAGUAGGGAAUAUUGCGCAAUGGGCGAAAGCCUGACGCAGCAACGCCGCGUGAGGGAUGACGGCCUUGGGUGUAAACUCUGUUGAGUGGAAAAAGGGUAGCAAUACUUUGAUGGUACCAUUCGAGUAAGCACCGGCUAACUACGUG